rnacentral:rRNA from 1 species
UAACGCGUUAAGUAGACCGCCUGGGGAGUACGGCCGCAAGGUUAAAACUCAAAUGAAUUGACGGGGGCCCGCACAAGCGGUGGAGCAUGUGGUUUAAUUCGAUGCAACGCGAAGAACCUUACCUGGUCUUGACAUCCACAGAACUUUCCAGAGAUGGAUUGGUGCCUUCGGGAACUGUGAGACAGGUGCUGCAUGGCUGUCGUCAGCUCGUGUUGUGAAAUGUUGGGUUAAGUCCCGCAACGAGCGCAACCCUUAUCCUUUGUUGCCAGCGAUUAGGUCGGGAACUCAAAGGAGACUGCCAGUGAUAAACUGGAGGAAGGUGGGGAUGACGUCAAGUCAUCAUGGCCCUUACGACCAGGGCUACACACGUGCUACAAUGGCGCAUACAAAGAGAAGCGACCUCGCGAGAGCAAGCGGACCUCAUAAAGUGCGUCGUAGUCCGGAUUGGAGUCUGCAACUCGACUCCAUGAAGUCGGAAUCGCUAGUAAUCGUGGAUCAGAAUGCCACGGUGAAUACGUUCCCGGGCCUUGUACACACCGCCCGUCACACCAUGGGAGUGGGUUGCAAAAGAAGUAGGUAGCUUAACCUUCGGGAGGGCGCUUACCACUUUGUGAUUCAUGACUGGGGUGAAGUCGUAACAAGGUAACCGUAGGGGAACCUGC